ACGGGUGAGUAACACGUGGAUAACCUACCUAUAAGACUGGGAUAACUUCGGGAAACCGGAGCUAAUACCGGAUAAUAUAUUGAACCGCAUUGUUCAAUAGUGAAAGACGGUUUUGCUGUCACUUAUAGAUGGAUCCGCGCCGCAUUAGCUAGUUGGUAAGGUAACGGCUUACCAAGGCAACGAUGCGUAGCCGACCUGAGAGGGUGAUCGGCCACACUGGAACUGAGACACGGUCCAG
rnacentral:rRNA from 1 species